ensembl:lncRNA
CAGGGGCAUGAAGGUUAUGUUUCAUGUAAAAGCUUUAAGAAGUCAUUUGAAUUCAAGCAGGCAGUUGCAAACACACUCCGUCCCUAUUCUUGGAUGUUUUUGUCAUGGCCCUUCUUAUGACUUCACGCAGCAGCAGCUACCGGACCCGUCCUUUGACAUCGUCAUUCCCAGAGCUUCCAUUGGCUCUGCGGCCAACAGCGGGAGCAGCACCCCGUCAACAUAAAACGAGGCCGGGAACACAGCACGCACAGACGAGUGGGCAUGGACUGCAGAGGACAUCCCAGUGGUGAACGUGCCACAGUUCGCCAGACACCAUCAGAGUAACUUUGGUUCACAUUUUCUCGUUUAUACUUGCUGACCUUUUGUUUUCUAUUGUUUGCGGUUCCCUAAGCUGGUCCUAAGAGGAACCUUCAUCCCCAAUACAUGGAGAUGAAUGGGAGGUCAUCCCACUGAGGAACAGAUAAACCUCCCAUUGACUGAUUUAUUAUGUUCCCCUGGGUAUCAGACAGUCAAGAGCUUCAUUUGAAAGUCAAAGCGCAGGGAUGAAGCUGCGGCUUUGCUGCAGAACAAAGACUUGUGCAGUGGUCGGCUUUUUCUGACAGGGAAGCGCGAGCUCUCUGCUGGACACAAACACACAGAUGAAAGUCACGUUGCUGAUGCCACAAAAACUGGGAGGAGAAUCGUCAAAGCAAAUGUUUCAAGUGUCUUUGGCUCAACAUUACUUUCACUUUACACAUUUAAGGUAGAUUGCAUUCACUUAGAUUAAAAGGAUAGUUUGCACAGAUAAAUUUAAUUAUUGAAGUCAUGUUUUUGAGCCUGGGUUGUGAUUAUUGUUGAUAACCACAAAGUUAACACAUGAAAUUAAGCUUUUGAAUUAAUCUAAAUGUACAAUGUUGUCAGUGAGUCAUUGGUUUUAUGAUGCACGAAUGUACUGGAUAAAUGUAUAUAUGCAAUACUGUCUAAAGCACUGCUGUGCCAUUUAAUUAUGUUCAGUACAUGUUACACUGAAGAGACCUGCCUGUGGUUAGCCUGUUUUACUAGCUUAUUGUUAAUCAGUAUAAUUCCUCAUAGAAGACUUUUUUCAUUUCUGAAAAAUCAGCUUUUGUGUCAGUAUUUUUGGAUAAAAUAAAAAUUUAAAUUUCAUUUGCCCAAAAACUGAAUAUAUAUUUAAAUAUAUUUUUGUUAUUCUUGAAGAAAGUUUAUCAUAGAGUCCAAAGUUGUAAAUGUAACUAUAAGAACGUCCCCCAGAGAGGGGACGUUAUUUAAGUAUGUGGGUGUUAAUGAGCAGAAUUUGCCAUCAUGUCUUUUACAUUUUAGCUUUCAGUUACCUUUACUAAUAGUCCUAUGCAUUCUUUCUUGUACAGUAGUUGUCCUAUAAAUGUCAUAUGCCAUAAAGUGAACUCUACUCCACUGAAAUCUGUAGUCCCUGUUGUUUUGAUGGGUGUGCCCAUAUCCCGUUCACAAAAGCUCGAGCUGAGAGCCCAGCAGCUUUUUCUGGUUGCUUUUGAAGCUAGCAUUAGCAAUUAGCAAUAAUCUUCAAUGAUUUAUCAUCUUAACGCAUACGUUUUCUCUCACUAACCACCUUGACCAACAUGUGAUGCGGAGGAAUUAUUGUGCAGGAUCAGGAACUCCUUUGGAACAUUAACCAAGAAAACAUUAGAGCUCAUACCAUGGGUGGUUGAAUAAACGAGCCAAGUUGAAGCUGUGGAGGCUGCAUCAGCAUUAUAACAUUAGCAUAUAUGAGAAAUAAUUUGGUUGACUCGAUGCAGUAAGUUUAGCUGUUUCACACCACCUUUAUUUUUCACUAAUAUUUUUAAUCCCUGGAUGUGGAUGCGGCACUGAUCUGUGGUGGU